rnacentral:rRNA from 1 species
GCAGAAGAAGCACCGGCUAACUCCGUGCCAGCAGCCGCGGUAAUACGGAGGGUGCGAGCGUUUAAUCGGAAUUACUGGGCGUAAAGCGCAUGCAGGUGGUUUGUUAAGUCAGAUGUGAAAGCCCGGGGCUCAACCUCGGAAUUGCAUUUGAAACUGGCAAACUAGAGUACUGUAGAGGGGGGUAGAAUUUCAGGUGUAGCGGUGAAAUGCGUAGAGAUCUGAAGGAAUACCGGUGGCGAAGGCGGCCCCCUGGACAGAUACUGACACUCAGAUGCCGAAAGCGUGGGGAGCAAACAGGAUUAGAUACCCCUGGUAG